GCAGUGGUGGUUCAGUGGUAGAAUUUUCCCCUUCCAUGUGAGAGGCCCAGGUCUGAUUCCUGACCAAUGCA
rnacentral:tRNA from 1 species